GCCUACGGGGCGCAGCAGUGAGGAAUAUUGGUCAAUGGGCUUACGCCUGAACCAGCCAAGUCGCGUGAGGGAAGACUGCCCUAUGGGUUGUAAACCUCUUUUGUCAGGGAGCAACGCCGGCUACGUGUAGCCGGACUGAGAGUACCCGAAGAAAAAGCAUCGGCUAACUCCGUGCCAGCAGCCGCGGUAAUACGGAGGAUGCGAGCGUUAUCCGGAUUUAUUGGCUUUAAAGGGUGCGCAGGCGGAUUUUUAAGUCAGCGGUCAAAUCGUGGGGCUCAACCCCAUCCAGCCGUUGAAACUGGGGA
rnacentral:rRNA from 1 species